rnacentral:lncRNA from 1 species
CAUACAACAUAACAACAUUUAUUUAGAAGGCUCCAAAGUGCUAAAAUGGUAUAAUGUUACAAGCAGGGGGUCACAUGACCUAACAUUCAGAGAAUACACUCAACAAGCGAAAGUUACAUGUUUAGGUACAGACAUCUACUAAAAAUGGUUGGAAGAGCCUAAAAAGCUACAACGACGCUACCAAAGGAGCCACAACUCUGUUUGGGAUUCCCAAGCUAUUCUGGUCAACAUUAAACACAUCGUGUAGAACCAAUAAUAAAACUAAUGUCUCCUCUGCAAAACAUAAAUUAAGAAAUCGUGAGUACAAAGGUACACAACAAGACUUACAUCAGAACCAUCUACAUAUGCAUCAUUGUCAACAAAGGGGUUGUGGAGUUUAAUAACAGCAAGCCAACUUUGACUCUUGGGUAACAUGUACUACGACUAUGAGUACUUCAUUAGAGGUGGGAUAGCGCACACGUGUCCACAUAUUCACCAAAUCAAUGCACCACCAUGGAUCCAUUAUCGUCUCCCUACGAGAAGGCCAUCCAUAUCACUCACACUUUUCUUGCGUAUUUUAGAGUAUCCAUUUCAAAUUGUCUAUGUACCACAUAAGUUUCCAAUUAGUCUAUAUCCGAGGACGCGGCUAUUCGAAUAGAUUAAUUCACCCUUCAUGGGUAUACUUCUUCACACAUCCUCUCACCACUUACCACCAUGUGGACAUCAUGCAUCUCGACAACUUUCAAGCGGAAGCACUGGCGUGGGUGUCGGCCACGACCUGACUAACCACACAUGACUCUAGUCCAGGUUUAUCGCCUAUUUGAGACUGAACCCGCAAGGAAGUCCGGCCGAAGUUCCCAUUACGGCCCCAAACGAUGUGUAUAACGUUCCCAAGCCCACCUCGAUGGAUGGUUCUACACUUUGUACACCCGACCACUCGUGUAUCUACAGCGCAAUACCCUACCCCUUCGGUCAGCGCUAUGCACGACCGCCAACACAUCCUACAAACACUAGAAACUAGUUGAACUCCUGGACAGAGGACAAGGCGAUUAAUAAGUCGAGAGAGACAAUUAAGGAUCCCAAUGUGCGGUAGUAUCUUGUCUCGGAGAACAUACGUAGAACUCAGUUCUUAUGGGCGAUCCCAAUGAGACAACCCACAUGUACUCCUCCAUGGCCUCUCAUUGCUACCUUUACCAAAUCGCAUUCACAUAAUUAUCUCUCACACAACAGGACAUGUUCACAACCAUUCCGAUCCAUCGCCCAGAUGGAUCAGAUCCGACACGACUCUAAGCAUAGCAAGCACAGUAAGCAAGCAUGGAUGAGUAAGCACAACAAGGCUCAAGCAGUUGCUACUCAUGCUAAGUGGUUUCAACUAUUUACUGUGACAAGGACAGGUCAUGCAAACGAAUGGGUUCAUCUACCGAGAACAAGUGACAUUUGAAUUGUUGUUGUCCUAAUGCAGUAAAAGAGAGCAGGAGCGAGAGAGUGGGUUUAUAUCAGUAUGCUCAAGGGGGUCGCUUGCCUGACAGUUUUGAAGGUAACCAUGGGUCUUCAUUACUGUCAAUGAUCACAACGUCGGAACCAUCGUCUACAGAGAGGGAACAACACCGGCAAACAGAAAAAGAACAACCUUUAUUUCACGGAAAUGCAACACUAUGAUGCAUGUUCAUGACACAGCAAUAUACUAUUGAUUGAGCUAAUGCAUCUAGCAACAAGAUUAAACAAAGUUGGUUUGAACCAAAGGUUCAAUUUCAACCUCCAUAUGUAGUUAUUUAAAUCAAAUUUAAUUGAAUUGUCCUAAACAGAGUACAUAAUUUGUUCUAGCAUGCAUGGAAAAGAUACCAUGAGAUUCCUUGGAUUUUUCUGGUAAUUUUUCAUAUAUAAAUUAUUUUUAUUGGAGUUAUGGUUGAAUUUCCAUGAUUUUUAGAAGUUUUGAAUAUUUUCUAAAAUUUCCUGGGUUAUUAAUAUUCCAAAAGAACAUUAUUGCAUCAACACUGUAUCAUGCUUGCCUCAUCAAGUCAACGGCGCCAAGUCAGGUCAAAACUAAUGUGUGGGGUUUAAUAUAAAACUAGGGCUCUAUUAGCCUGUGGGGUCCACACGUCACUGGCACAGGGGAUUACUUAGCAAGGUCAUUAGCCACUAAUGACGUUGCCAUGUCAUCACGCCGGGGAUCAGCCGGCGGUGACCCAAUCCUUGGCGGGGACAUGCCGGACUUGCCCGUCCGGUCAGCUCCGACAAUGGAUGGACGAGUGUGUGGGCUCUAUGGAUCAGGCGCAGUGCGACGCAUCCGAUGGUGGUGGCCGCAAGUGCUGGGGAGGGCUGUGGCAACGGCGGCAACGAGCGAGCCGGCAGGGAGCUUCGGCCACAGUGUGCUGGCUAGCUAUGACGCGAGAGGGAGACCGCAAGGAGAGGGAGAAGGACGACGAGCUAACGACAGUGACAAGGGGAGUCUCAGCUUACUCGGGGAUGCGCGGAUGGCCGUGAAUCAACUUCGAAGAGGACCGCUUGCCGGUGGUUGAAGACGGGUUGGAGACGGUGUCCUACGCGUGAGGCCUCGCGUUCCUUGCUGGAGAGCUUGAGGUAGACGAGACAAAGCUCGUGGUCGGCUCGUAGGGGUGAGGAGAGCGUGAUGGCUACGAUUACGAUGGCGGUGAGCUUGAGCAGGGCUCGGCCAUGGCGAGGGGAAACAGAGAAGUAGGGAGGGGUAUAACGAGGGGAAAGGGGAGAGACCGUUCCGGACGACUCCAAGCUUAUCCCCGUCGUGGUCGCUCGAGGGAGGCAAGCAGGCACGAGGCAUGGUGUGUGGUCGUGCUCGCCAUGUUUUCCUUCGCCUCUGCCUACUCGCAGAGGUAGGAGACGACUG